UACAGAGGGGGCAAGCGUUGUUCGGAAUUACUGGGCUUAAAGGGCGCGUAGGCGGCCUUCUAAGUCGAACGUGAAAUCCCCGGGCUCAACCCGGGAACUGCGUCCGAUACUGGAAGGCUUGAAUCCGGGAGAGGGAUGCGGAAUUCCAGGUGUAGCGGUGAAAUGCGUAGAUAUUCGCAAGAACACCAGUGGCGAAGGCGGCUCACUGGUCCGGUUCUGACGCUGAGGCGCGAAAGCGUGGGGAGCAAACAGG
rnacentral:rRNA from 1 species